GAAAAAUACAGCACAAUGACUAUGGUGGAUAUGGACGAUGGGUGACCCAGAGGCUGAUGGACUGGACCCUCACAAUGGUCAUGGACCCCAGUACUGAGCAGCAUGCUGUCAGUCUGUGGGAGCAUUCAUUCUCAUGCCUGCAAGUUCAUAUAUUUAUCCCUCCCAGACUGUCGCCAUCCACAAAAUAAAACCAGCUCGUGAAAAAGCUGAAAUAAUAUGGGAUCCAGCAGAACUAGGCCUGGCCACCUCUGGCCCAGAUCUAACAUUUCCAGCUAUCUUUGCCUAGCUGCAUGCUUGAGGACUGCUAGAUGUUUUGGAAUGAAGGAUGUGACUCACGGUAAACUUUGCUCUGGUACAGUUCCACACCCUAACUCUGUUAACAUCUAGGGACAGAUAGAUAAGAAUCAGUCAUGACAGGGAGGCAUGGCAUCAGGCAAGCACAAUGGCCAGAGCAGGAAGCUGAGAAACCACACCCUUAAUCACCAGCAGCACCGGAUCAGAGACACCCAACAAGCAGUAGGUCCAGAGGUUGAAGUUAAGCUGCUAGCUAAGGCAAGGACACAGUUCCACAGGCAGGCUCACUCACAGUCCUCUUCUGCCUCAGCUCCUAGACACAUGGGCCUCUCCAUAGGCCUCCUGCUUCCCUCAACUCAUGACUCUGCCUUCUGGGCUUCUCCUAGAGUGAAAGAAAGGGGGGUGGGGGGGAUAGGUCAGAAGAGAAGGAUGACAGCAACUUCAGUCUUUUUAUGACUUAUUCUCUGGUGACAUUGACAUACUUUUGAUUGUCCAUGAAUUUGUGGACAUAUCCUUAACACCAUGGUAUAUACCUUAUAAAGAAUUUAUGCACAGAGUAAGUAGAGAAUACUUCCAAGUCUGAGAAAACUAACUAUUCUGUUCCAAGCAAAUACAAGAACUCAAUACACACUUUUAAAAGAUGCACUAGUGUUAAGUUUGUGAAAAUAUGUUCAGUACCAUUGGCAAUCACAGAAAUGUAAAGAGAAACCAACACAUGCUUAUAAGGAUGGGUAAAAAUUUUUUGUUUUGUUUUUUGUUUUUUGAG
rnacentral:lncRNA from 1 species